rnacentral:rRNA from 1 species
UGAGUAACACGUAUGCAACCUGCCUGCCACAGCCGGAUAAUCGGGAGAAAUUCCGUCUAAUACGGCAUAAUGCAUCGACGGGACAUCCUGUUGGUGCCAAAGGUUGAUUCCGGUGGCGGAUGGGCAUGCGUCGCAUUAGUUAGUUGGCGGUGUAACGGACCACCAAGACGACGAUGCGUAGGGGUUCUGAGAGGAAGGUCCCCCACACUGGUACUGAGACACGGUCCAAACUCCUACGGGAGGCAGCAG